rnacentral:rRNA from 1 species
GACGAACGCUGGCGGCGUGCUUAACACAUGCAAGUCGAACGAUGAAGCUAGAGCUUGCUCUGGUGAAUUAGUGGCGAACGGGUGAGUAACACGUGAGUAACCUGCCCCGAACUCUGGGAUAACUGCUGGAAACGGUAGCUAAUACUGGAUACGACCUACGAAGGCAUCUUCUGUAGGUGGAAAGAAUUUCGGUUCGGGAUGGACUCGCGGCCUAUCAGCUUGUUGGUGAGGUAAUGGCUCACCAAGGCGACGACGGGUAGCCGGCCUGAGAGGGUGACCGGCCACACUGGGACUGAGACACGGCCCAGACUCCUACGGGAGGCAGCAGUGGGGAAUAUUGCACAAUGGGCGCAAGCCUGAUGCAGCAACGCCGCGUGAGGGAUGACGGCCCUCGGGUUGUAAACCUCUUUUAGCAGGGAAGAAGCGAAAGUGACGGUACCUGCAGAAAAAGCACCGGCUAACUACGUGCCAGCCGCCGCAGUAA